rnacentral:rRNA from 1 species
GUAGUGGGGGAUAACGUCCGGAAACGGGCGCUAAUACCGCAUACGUCCUGAGGGAGAAAGUGGGGGAUCUUCGGACCUCACGCUAUCAGAUGAGCCUAGGUCGGAUUAGCUAGUUGGUGGGGUAAAGGCCUACCAACGCGACGAUCCGUAACUGGUCUGAGAGGAUGAUCAGUCACACUGGAACUGAGACACGGUCCAGACUCCUACGGGAGGCAGCAGUGGGGAAUAUUGGACAAUGGGCGAAAGCCUGAUCCAGCCAUGCCGCGUGUGUGAAGAAGGUCUUCGGAUUGUAAAGCACUUUAAGUUGGGAGGAAGGGCAGUAAGUUAAUACCUCGCUGUUUUGACGUUACCAACAGAAUAAGCACCGGCUAACUUCGUGCCAGCAUCCGCGGUAUAUACGAAGGGUGCAAGCGUUAAUCGGAAUUACUGGGCGUAAAGCGCGCGUAGGUGGUUCAGCAAGUUGGAUGUGAAAUCCCCGGGCUCAACCUGGGAACUGCAUCCUAAACUACUGAGCUAGAGUACGGUAGAGGGUGGUGGAAUUUCCUGUGUAGCGGUGAAAUGCGUAGAUAUAGGAAGGAACACCAGUGGCGAAGGCGACCACCUGGACUGAUACUGACACUGAGGUGCGAAAGCGUGGGGAGCAAACAGGAUUAGAUAGCCUGGUAGUCCACGCCGUAAACGAUGUCGACUAGCCGUUGGGAUCCUUGAGAUCUUA